GAUGAAGAACGCAGCGAAAUGCGAUAAGUAAUGUGAAUUGCAGAAUUCAGUGAAUCAUCGAAUCUUUGAACGCACAUUGCGCCCCCUGGUAUUCCGGGGGGCAUGCCUGUCCGAGCGUCAUUACAACCCUCAAGCUCAGCUUGGUGUUGGGCCCCGCCGCCCCGGCGGGCCCUAAAGUCAGUGGCGGUGCCGUCCGGCUCCGAGCGUAGUAAUUCUUCUCGCUCUGGAGGCCCGGUCGUGUGCUCGCCAGCAACCCCCAAUUUUUUUCAGGUUGACCUCGGAUCAGGUAGGGAUACCCGCUGAACUUAAGCAUAUCAAUAGCGGAGGA
rnacentral:misc_RNA from 1 species